AUGGCCAUGGCGGCCGCGAGCAUCGGCGGCGCACUGGGCUUCCUCGCCCCGCGCCGUCGCGGCGUGUCCUUCGCUGCGGCGGCAGGUCGUAGGAGGCCGUCGCUGGCGGUGGUGCGCGCGGCGUCGUACGAGGCGGGCGUCGGGGUGAUGGCGACCAAGGUGGGGAUGAUGACCUACUUCGACCCGGAAAACGGGAAGCCGGUGCCGGUGACGGUGGUCGGGUUCAGGGAGGGGGGCAACGUGGUGACGCAGGUGAAGACCGCCGCCACCGACGGCUACGACGCCGUGCAGGUCGGGUACCACGGCGUGCGCGAGGACAAGCUCACCCGCCCGGAGCUGGGCCACCUCGGCAAGGCCAGCGCGCCGCCGCUGCGGCACCUGCAGGAGUUCCGCCUGGUGGCCGUCGACGCCUUCGACCCCGGCCAGGCGCUCGAGUUCAACGAGCUCUUCAAGGAGGGCGACCUCGUCGACGUCUCCGCCAAAUCCAUCGGAAAGGGAUUCCAAGGUGGAAUUAAGAGGCACAACUUCAAGCGUGGUCUGAUGACUCACGGUUCCAAGAGCCACAGAGCCCUAGGUUCGAUCGGUGCGGGGACAACCCCAGGGCGGGUGUACAAGGGGAAGAAGAUGCCCGGGAGGAUGGGCGGAACCAAGACCAAGAUCAGGAAGCUCAAGAUUGUCAGGAUCGACAAUGAUCUCAAAGUUGUGAUGAUCAAGGGAGCCAUUCCCGGGAAGCAGGGGAACCUUCUCCGCAUCACGCCAGCGAAGAUUGUCGGCAAGAACAUCCCCAAGAGCUAG
rnacentral:rRNA from 1 species